rnacentral:rRNA from 1 species
GUGCUACAAUGGCCGGUACAGACGGACGCAAAGCCGUGAGGUGGAGCAAAUCCUAAAAAGCCGGUCUCAGUUCGGAUUGCAGGCUGCAAUUCGCCUGCAUGAAGUCGGAAUCGCUAGUAAUCGCAGGUCAGCAUACUGCGGUGAAUACGUUCCCGGGCCUU